AAAAAUUAAAAUCAAAUAAAAUUAACCUCAAGCUAAAGAAAUGGAAGGAAAAAAAAUAAAAUUAACUAAAAACACUUAAAAUAGCCUUUUAGGAUUGAAAAAGUAAAGUUAUAAAAGUUUUGGUUGAAUAUCCUACUCAAUGCACCUACAAAUCGAACUUUAAGAGUAAAAUGGGCGAAAAUCACUAAGAUAGCAUUUAUGG
rnacentral:lncRNA from 1 species